CACCUCUUAGCUCAGUCAGUAGAGCAUGAGACUCUCAAUCCCAGGGCUGUGGGUUCGAGCCCCACAGUGGAUGA